rnacentral:rRNA from 1 species
UACGGAGGAUCCGAUCGUUAUCCGGAUUUAUUGGGUUUAAAGGGUGCUCAGGCGGGCCAUUAAGUCGGCGGUGAAAUUUUGCGGCUCAACCGUAAAAGUGCCUUCGAUACUGGUGGUCUUGAGUGUGGAUGAGGUAGGCGGAAUUUGUGGUGUAGCGGUGAAAUGCAUAGAUAUCACGAGGAACUCCGAUUGCGCAGGCAGCUUACUAAACUACUACUGACGCUCAGGCACGAAGGCGUGGGGAUCAAACAGGAUUAGAUACCCCUGUA